GACACGUCAGGGCAUGGCCACUGGGAUUAAGAGCUUUGCCUGCUCCUGGCAUGAGAGGAAGUGAACUUAAAGCUCAGUGACCUCUGAAGUUCAGUCAGGGGCAGCGUAGCAUCUUUCAGACUCAGCCUGGUCAGGCCUUUGGAUGGCUUCCCUCAUUCUUGGGUUCCCUGAGUGAGGGGUAAAGUCACAGCAGUGGCCCUGGAUGUCAAGGACACGUCAACCCAACCCAAGUGCACACCCACAGGCGUGAGCUCUGCACUGAGCACACUGAGCCCCAGACCCCUUGGGUCCGUUCCACUCUGGACUCCCAGGGCUUCUCCCCACCCAGCAGCCUGAAACGUCCCCUCCCUGGAGUCAUUCUGGAGAAAAGCCUGAGGUUUCCAAGGGCAGGGACAUCCUCGGGGACCAGAGGAGGCAGGAACAGUCUAGAACCUUCCGGAUGCAGAAACCGCCGCCAGGUGCCCAGGAGCACCCAUCACCUGCAGAGCAUCCUGCACCUGGACCAGGGCUUCUCAGCCUUCCUGAAGCUGCACCCAGGAGCCACACUUCCAGGACAAGAAUUUGGGCUGAUACAAAUGACUGGGAAUGGGUUCCCCUGCUUGGUGUGAUUGCGUCUCUGGCCAGCGAGGACUUGGCGGCUGGAGCCCCUGCUCCAGCUCUCUCCAACUCCAGCUCUAAGGAGCUGGCCUGGCACGAGGAGCCCAAGGAGUGGGCUCCCACAGCUCCACCUGGGGUCCCCUGGUCGCCACAAGGGAAAGAUUGUGUCCCUUGCCAUUUGGAUGGAAGCCCAAGCUCCCAGGUUGUUCAUUGGUCCGAUCCUGGCCCUGGAUCCUUUCGUCACAAGGUUCACCUUGAAAACAGGCCACACUGUUCUCUAAGCCACCUUCAGGAGAAGUCUAAACCCAGGACAAACGCUGGUUUUUGACAAGCCAUUUGCCUCACCCUCCAGCACCCAACCUUAAUGGACCAGAAAAGAGCCAGGUGCCACCCUGGUUGAUAGAGGCAGUUAUCACUGGCUAUUUCAGGAGUGUGUGGAAGGCUUUCCUGGCUCCUCUUGGACCCUGGAAUUCUAUUUCCAACAGGCUUUCAGCAGCCGAGGCUGAGUCGUCUGCCUGGUGACCAGAGCUGAGCUCCAGCGUCAUGGGCCCCUCAGAUAACGUGGCCCACAGUGCCAGGUCCUUGGGCCUGACUGCCGCCUGUCAACAUCCGAACGAGAGCACUCGGUUCAACCUCACACCCUUGCCUGCCCCUCUUGUCCCUUCUAAAAUUAGACCUGGUGUUCCACUUGCCAUGCCCUUGCUGAACCUCUGGGACAGUCCGAGCAUAGCGGAAAAUCCUGAUGUCCCUUCCCUGCUACCUCACAGACAGCAAGACUUAGGGCCUAAAACUUCAGUUCAGACCAGCCAGUCUUCUUUCCCUUUGGAACAGACUUAGGGUUUUUAAAGCCAACAAAGUAUAAAAUAGGAAGGUACAUUCCAGAAUUUUGUGCUAUAAUAAUAUUUCUUCCCCUAACUAGAUGUGUAAGCCAAUGGAAGUUAUUUUAAUAUCACAGAGGCUCGGUUUCCCAUCUAUAAGAAGAAAGCAGUGCUACUUCCUAGAAGCAGUAUAAUAGAAUCACAUAAGGACAGAAAUCCCUUUGUGGUGCUCAAGACAGAGAACAUGAGAAGAUAUGGAAACACCGUCGAGUGACCCUGGACAGAGGGUGAAGCUGCUACAGAGCCCACCAAGAGCUAGUGAAGGAAACGCAGGCAGCAGACCAGUGGAUGGAUGGGGCGCUGGACAGGGGCUCCUGUAGUAGCAUCAGAGGCUUAGAGGACAUCCACACAGGUCAUCCACAGGGGCCGUGGGAGGAAAGGCAUCAUGGCCAGCGUGGACAGAAAUGGGGGGCAGAAGCUGCAGAGCCUGCAUGGGUGGAGGCCGAGUGCCCACAAAAGCGGGCUCUGCCCUGACAGCACACAGCAUCCCAGGGAGAAGGGGGACGGAAAGGCUGGAAGGCUGCACGCAUACAGGAAGCAAAGUGCUCAUGAGCUGGAGGGAUGCCCAGACCCUCCAAGAUGAGAGGGAUGUGGAGGAGGAGGACAUGGCACAGCCCGACACACAGGGAGCCACCAGGACAGGACUGUGUGACACCCACUCUGCUCUGCCCAGUCCUGCUCUUCCCGCCGCAGCCCCAGCCCAGGAAUGGGCACAGAGGGAGGGACAGGUAGCUCUGCAUGGCCAGUGCCCUCAGGUGGCCAUGCAUGGUCACAGAGCUCGGAGGCAGGAGCAGCUGCUCUGAGAUGGGCCGAGCACACAGAGGACUCUGCCUCUGACCUACAUGGGUUCUGCCACAGAGGGAUGAAAGGAGCAAAGAACACAAAGGCUGUGUGGGAGAGUGGGUAGUGUCUGUACACCAGGAUGAAGUGUGGGCGGGAUGAGCAGACCUCAGGCUCUGAGUGGGCUGCGGCCAGGUGAGACCACAGACCUUGCGGGGCCCGGGACUUGCAGCAGGCCCUGGAGGAGAGGUCAGAGCACCUCUGCACUUGCUCUGCUCCCAUCCAUAAUCGGGGUGCAGACGCCGGGUGCCCACACAUGAGCUCGGGAGGCGUCACACGUGUUUCCCUGCAGGAGCAGGUCGAGCGCCUGCUGGGGAGGAUGUAUUUCCAGCACCCGUGUGGCAGGGAUCCUCCUGCCAGCAUCCUUGCCUCAACCCUGCUUGUCGAAGGCCGACACAGUGUGAUUCUGACCGUGUGGACACCUUAGAUUAUACCGUGGCACGUCAGAGACAUUUGGUUUGAUUGGUUGGUUGCUUUUUGGUGUUUUGAGAUAGGGUCUCCCUGUGUGAUAAAGGUUGGUCUCAAACUCACAAUCCUCCUGCCUCAGCCUCCUGAGUACUGGGAGUGCAUCUGUGCACCACCACACCCAGCCGGCAAGAGAUUAUGAAAAAUCUUUGACUUCGGUUCCCUGGCUCCCUUCAAACCUGAAGAAACAGCUCCCUACCAGCUGUGACUGGCCAGGACUGAAUGAUUACUUUGCAAUUCAUUUAUUGCUAGACAAAAAGAGACUGUCUUUGGCAGUAAGGUAUUUCUGGAACAUUCUGGUGACAUUAAAAGCAUGAUUAUAUAAAAAUGUGGCACAGUCCUAUUAUACACCUUAUUAAGUGGCCAAAUAGUAUUAUAAAUUAUUUCUUGGUAUUCUUAUAUUUGUUCACCAAAUAUUUAAUGCCUCCUAUAUUCCAGGCACUGUUAGGUGCUUGGGGAAGAGCAGGGAAAUGAACAGUCCCGGGAGAGUCUGAGCAGAGGAGAGACUGUCCUGCCUCAUCCUGUUAAAGCCUCUGG
ensembl:lncRNA